UACGUAGGUGGCAAGCGUUGUCCGGAUUUACUGGGCGUAAAGAGCGCGCAGGCGGUCGAAUAAGUCGAAUGUGAAAGCCCCCGGCUUAACUGGGGAGGGUCACGCGAUACUGAUCGACUCGAAGGCAGGAGAGGGUAGUGGAAUUCCCGGUGUAGUGGUGAAAUGCGUAGAUAUCGGGAGGAACACCAGUGGCGAAGGCGACUACCUGGCCUGUUCUUGACGCUGAGGCGCGAAAGCUAGGGGAGCAAACGGG
rnacentral:rRNA from 1 species